CGUCAAUGUCAAGGUCAUUUUUCAAAAUCUAUUUUUCCUGAAGUUCAACAUUUUCUUCUCUUUUACUCCUUAUUCGGAAUUCAGGGUCCAUAAAGAACAGUAUGGAACCCCCUGAUUUACAAUAUGGCUGAAGGAAAACAGACUACAGUAGAAUGCAUUGACAUCAAAGAUGCCAGAACUGCCCUCUAUAAUAAAGAACUCUUGCAUCUGUCCACAGUUAAUGUGAGAGGAACUGUUGAUGUCCUGAGCACAGUUAUUAGGGUAAAGAGUGAUGACUGUUUCCUGAUCAAGUUGACUCAAGAAAGCAAGGGCUCACAAAUAUUUGUGCUUUUUAAGGAAAAGAAGCAUCUUAAGUGGCACAAUUUCUUAGAGCCGCUGUCCAGCUAUGUUUUCAUCAAUCUGAAGCCUACCACCUUGUAUAAGGGAAGUAGUUCUGAAAAGAAGGUAUAUGUACCAUGGAGCAAGUUUAAGAUACACAGGGAAAAUGACUGUCUCUCAACUAGCCUUGAUUUGCAGAGCUGGUGUGAGAAGCAUUGUGGUAUGCAGGAACAUGAUGGACAGUUAGACUUAGAUGUCCUUGCAUCUGAUACCCCAGACUCCUUUAGUGAAGAUAGUCAGAAGAUGUAUUCAUAUGAGGGCACAAUCAGCAGCUGUUCAUUAGAACAUCAUGGAAUCUAUGAUUUGGACAACAAAAUCAGGUUGUAUUCUUGGAUGAUUGAGCGUCCCUGUGGCAUGGCCCUAGGGGCAAAGAUUACUGUGUUUAAUUGCCAUCAUAGAGGAUCAUCAAAGGCUCCAAAGAUACAGCUUCACUGCUGCCUCCAGAGUUGUAUCAAAGUCCACAUUAGUAGUAGCAGUAGCUCUAGGAAGAGGCACAUAGAUGAUAGUAUAUCCAAACAGAAAGAUUCAUUAUGCAUCAAUCUUGCCUUGCAGUAUAACUUCACUUUCCCAGCAUUUCAAACUGCAGUUGAAAUAUUUGAAUCACUGAAGAAAAAGUUUCAUCCUAAAUAUAAAUGGAUCCGAAUUGAUGCAAUUCUACGAAAGGUUCUGAAGAUUACAUCAAUGGGAGAUUGUAUGAAUGAUGAGAACCCUCCUAUUAGGAACAGAAUCCUAGAGUUUAUACAACAUGACUGCAUCUUUCAGAAAACUAUGAACAUGAGUGAAACCUCUAAGCUUGCCUGCCUCUCAGAUAUAGUCACAUCAGAGCAUAUUAUAGACAGCAUGAGGUUGGUAGAGAAUGAUGGAACAUAUUGGAGUGCCCACAAGUCAGACUAUGGAAAACAACCUUGGCCACUCGUUGGGAUUUUAGCAGUUUCAACAAAAUCUGGUAGAAUCCAACUGGUUGAUCAAACAGGUUCCAUUGACUGCAUCAUCGCUCCUAAUGAUCCACCAAAAGACAGUGAUGACACACCACAUGAAUGUCAUAAAUCAUGUGACGUAUCCGUGAAGUGUCCAUAUUGCCAUAUCAAGUCCUUAGGUACAGUCAUCAUCGUUGAAGAAUAUAAUCUAGUCAGAGAAACAUUUCAACACAAAUCCCCUGGACACCAAGAUCCGGCAAUGCAGCAAGAUCUCUCUUACAAACAUGUACAGUUCUCUAUGAAAAACGUUACUCCUUUACUUUCAUUUAAAAAUGAUGAGAUGGAAGCUCCAUUGUUCAAUAAAAAAUCCAAAUCAGACUUUGCUGCUGAAUCUAGUGGUAGAGAAGCCCUCCAGAAGAGGGGUGACAGUAGAACUGAAUUGGUGUCUCAGAUAUUUUGCCUCGUUUCGAAAGAUUAUUUGACUUUAAAAACCAGAGGCAGUCCCUCACCUCAGUUAUCUUUUUACAUUAAUGUUAUACUUGUUGGUCAGCCUAUUACAUCCACUGGAGACCAUGAUCCUCAUUUACAAGUAGAAGAGGAAACAUUUGAAGGACAAGCAGGAGUCAAACAUGACAACAGUGGAAAAUCUGGACUUAAAUCACACAUAAAUAAAGAACAGUUGCACGUCAAAGGGCUACACCAGUCUCAAUAUGGAGUGCAUAGAGGUCAAGGCCAAUCACAACUCAAAGGUCAGACUAAGACAACAGUUCAGCACAAUACCAGAGUGAUGUCUAUACUACUGUCAGGGGACUAUGUGCAAUGGUACCAUUUGUUACAACAUGGGUGUUUCUAUAAGCUGGUGAUGCAGCGUCGCACACAUCAGCAAUACUUCAAAGAACCAGUAUCAGAUCCAUCACUGAGAACUGCAAUGAGAGCCUGUAAAACAAAACCCUGUGUUACACUGCCCCCUGGGGUCACCCUUGGAUGUGUCUCUACAUGCCCUUGUUGGACCACAAUCGUAGGAUGCAAUUCUGCAAGAGGACUGUUUGGUACAGCAGUCUUUACACGGAUGUGACAACAAAGAUGUAGACCCCCAAGUUGUAGCACUUUACAAAAAUAGUCAAUGUAUUCACACUGUCAAGGAUAUCAACACUGGAAAGUCAAAAGACAUUUUGAAUUUUGAGGGGAUUGUAUUGUCAAGAAGUUUUGUGGAUGCCAAUAACACUUACAACCUGUCAAAACAGAAUAUUACAUUGAAUAAUCAACUUAAUGUCUCUGUUCCUGGUAACAAGUGCCUCCGUCUGCUUAUCAAGGACCUCAUAUCCUCUGAGGAAAUAAUGAUAUAUGCCAAACUGGAAAAUGGGUCAUAUCCACUUGGACUCUUGAGGGGAGCAAGGGUUCAGUUCUUCAACAUAGAAAGAAGGGUAUCAAAGAGCGGAAGAGCCUAUUGCAAUUUUAUUGUGACAUCAUCAUUCAAGAUAAUAUGCACUUCUCCCACAGAAGUUGUGCCCAUACUGCAGCAAACUGAUUGGUCAAAUGCACCAUAUAAGAAACUGAACCAACUGUUGGAUCCCUCUGAAAGCUACAAGGUGUUUCAAAAUAUUUGUAAUGUUCAGCAAGUGUUGAAGAUCCACCUGAGGACUGCCUGUAAUAAAUGUGCAAAUGUUCACAAGAAUGGAAGAUGUACAUAUGCGCCAUGUUAUUCAGGAGAACAGCCAAAGUUCAAGGGAAGAGCAAGUGUUAUAGUGGAGGAUGGUACCAACACAGUUAUACUAUAUGUGAAUGAUGACCUGAUACGCAACCUGCUUGGACUCAAGGAACAAUUAUGGAUUGAACUGAAACAACAUAUUAUGGACAAGGGAGAAUAUGUGUAUGACAGAGAAGAAGAAUUUACAAGAUCUGCUCUUGGACGACUUUGUAACAGUCCUCUUGUUAAAAGGAAACUUGUCUUUAUGUGUAAACCUUACUCUGGUUUCCAUGGUGACAUGAGUGAUAAACAGAAAUGUGGGGGUAUUCACAACAAAGAAAUAACUGAAUUCAACAAGAAAAUUACUGAAGGAAUCGAGACUAGAAAUCUUCCAUUGAUACACCUUUAUUGCCAAGACAUCAAGGAGGUGGAUUUUCAUUCAUGGGGACAAAAUCUGCUGGAAGUAUAAAAGUUGUAAGGUACAUGUAUUCCACAUUUACCAUUUACUGAUGCUUUUAAGUGAACUUUUGAAGUGAAGACCAAGAACUGUGAUAUAACAAUAUAACUGUGAUAACAUCUAGUCUGCCCAGAUAUGAUAAGUCCAUAGAGGUGAAGUGUUAGUUCUAUAAGGGCUGUUUUAUGAACUGACCUUAUAAGUCAGUUCAGAUGAAUGUUGAUUUAACAGACCUGUGCUAAAUACUGGUCUUGGUUCAUUGGAAUGAUUGUUAACUUAGCAUGCCUGUAUUAAAAACUGGUCCUAUUAGUCCCGAGGAAUGAAUGUUAAUUUAACAUGCCUGUCAGGAGUCAUUACUGUGUUCAGAACUGGCUCUAUCGGCUCAUGAUGGUACUCCACUCUGAAGUCCUGGAUAAGCUACAAGAAAUAAGUUUAUGUUAACACAUGUGUCGAAUGUACAAUUGUAACAGUGUUUUAACUUUUUUACUCUUUAUUUUGUGGAAUGAACUCCAUUUGCUGAGGGAAUAUGAGUACGAGUUUUAAUGUUGAGUUGUGUUAGACUAAUUAUGUAGGUGCAAACAAAUAUCAGAACAAUAUGUGGUCAUAUGUACAAUAUGAAAAUAACUUUUAUUAGAUAAAAAUAUAUUUUGAAUAUGAGGAAAAAUGCUCUUUUCCAUAAUGCUUACUUUAGUUACUGCUAUGUAUACUUCUUGUUCUGCAAAGCGCCUACCAAUACACAUGCGAGAUCCGUGUCCAAAGGGGAGGUUUGUAAAUGCCUGUAACUCACGAUCUGUAUUCCCUCGUAACCAACGUUCCGGACGAAAUUCCUCAGGCUCCGGAAAUAAGGCAGAUUCAUGACCCAUACCAUACAAAUUGGCCUGGACAUGUGACUAAACAUAACAGAGGUGAUCAGUUUAGUUGUAGUUUUUAGGUCACAAUUAAUUGAACGUGGGGAUGUUUUUUUGUUAUUGUUACUUUGUACCAUGGGGUUUCAAUUAGAUUGUACCAAAAUUGUGACCACGUAGAUGUCUGAAUAUUGUUUAUAAUUUUUUAUAAAUAAACCACAUUAAUGACUAGAUGCUAAAUGACUUUUCAUUAUUGAAAGCGAUGCUUAUAUAUAUUGAACGCCUGCCGCCCCCUCCCGUAAACGGGACAUCAAAAGCUGGAAAGGUACACCUAUCUGUAUCAUCAAAUCAUAAUGUAUUUUCAUCACUACAACCGAAGAAUAAAUUUAUCAUAUAUUUACCCCUGCUGGAAUCCUGUAUCCACCCAUCUCUAUAUCUUCGUGUAUGAUUCUACUUGUCGAAUAUGUAAUAGGGUAGAUUCUGAAAUGAAGAAUGAAAAUGUGUAUGCAUUAUGGAAAGCAUAACACUCUCAUUCGAUAGACAAUUGAAUGAAUAUACACUUCGUUUUACAUGUAAGUACACUUGAUGAUUUUCUACGUGCUAUUCCACUAAGAGACAACAUAACAUAAGUGAAGAACAUUACCUUGGAAUAAUUUUUUUGAAAAAAUAAUGCGUACCUAAAUACUUCUUUAAGGACUGCUUUGACGUAUGGGAGUUGAGCAAGUGUUUUUCCAGUGAUGGGGGCCUUGUUGGGCAAAACCUUGAUCGUCUCCUGGUGCAUCUUCUCUUGCACCGCAGGAUUCAAUGCCAGGCAGUACAGCGUCCAUAUUGUAGCAUUGGAUGUCUUAGUGUGAAGAAAAACAUGUCAAUUAUAGUGCAAUAUACAUGAAUGUUAGUAAACGAGUUUCAUUGUUUUGAAUGUUGCUUUACUUUUUGAUCGUAUCUCAUUUCAUUUUUACUGUUGAUGCAUUUUUUUUAUUAGUUGUUCGUACCAUUUUCAACAUAUUCUAAAGUUUAAGAUUUACAAUUCUAAUCCUAAUUUCAUUAUUAUCUUACCGAACGUCCGUGUGUUCGGGUACUAGAUGAAUACGGAUUUUUAGAGGCGUAUUCGUUAUUGGCACACUACAUUUGCUCAUUGCUCAAAAAGGAAUUUUCACCAUGAUCACUCGAUUCAAAAUGGCCCUGGUGAAUAAAGACAUAUUCAUGGUCGCCACAGAAUUUGAAAGUGGCCGCCAUUUUUGAAAUGCUUUUUAUAGAAUUUGGUCCAAAUCUUAGUCAAAUGUACACGGUAUCCAA
rnacentral:misc_RNA from 1 species